rnacentral:rRNA from 1 species
GACGAACGCUGGCGGCGUGCCUAAUACAUGCAAGUCGAGCGCAGGAAAUCGACGGAACCCUUCGGGGGAAGUCGAUGGAAUGAGCGGCGGACGGGUGAGUAACACGUAAAGAACCUGCCCUCAGGUCUGGGAUAACCAAGAAAAAUCGGGGCUAAUACCGGAUGGGUCAUCGGGCCGCAAGGUCCGAGGAUGAAAGGCGCUUCGGCGUCGCCUGGGGGUGGCUUUGCGGUGCAUUAGCUAGUUGGUGGGGUAAUGGCCCACCAAGGCGACGAUGCAUAGCCGACCUGAGAGGGUGAUCGGCCACACUGGGACUGAGACACGGCCCAGACUCCUACGGGAGGCAGCAGUAGGGAAUCUUCCACAAUGGACGAAAGUCUGAUGGAGCAACGCCGCGUGAACGAUGAAGGCCUUCGGGUCGUAAAGUUCUGUUGUAAGGGAAGAACAAGUGCCGCAGGCAAUGGCGGCACCUUGACGGUACCUUGCGAGAAAGCCACGGCUAACUACGUGCCAGCCGCCGCCGUAA